GCCCUCCCCCCACCACCCCCCCCUUCUCCCUCCUCCUCUCUCGCUCUUCACAAAUAUCAAAGGAGAUUUCAUUUGUCUCCCCUUGACAGGGCUGGUCAGUUAACCCGGGAACAUUUGGAAGGCUGGUAUCAUUCGGGGAGGAAAGCCUUCGCUUCCUAUGUACUCAGACACUUUGUUCGGCGGACCACUGGGCUAUUCCCAAAUAGACAGAACUUCAAUUUCUAGUGUGCUGUUUGAAGCUGACCUGAAUCAUUUGUGACACACCAAGCUGAACAAAGCCUAUGAGCCAAACAUUGUGGCUUUCCAGGAACUGGACCAUUGCUCUGUUUGUGUGAUCUCAGGCAGGCAGCAAAAAGAACAAGAAUUUCAUCAGGCCUGCAAAGAACCACCUGAUGCAGCUGGCUGGACUACCUGACACCUGUUGGGCAGAAGAUGUCAAUACAGCUAUAUAUCUCUAUAAAAGAACACCAUGCAAACCUAUUGGAAUGACUCCUUUUGAAGUAUGUCAUAAGAAAAAAUUGGAAGCCAUUUGGAGCAUAAACCUCUGUACAAAUUCCCAAAGAAAGAAGAAAAAACUAGCUCCAAAAGCUGAAAUUGGAAUAUUAAUUGGCUACAAUCCAAAUUCAAGAGUCUACAGAGUCAUAGAUCCUAAGACCUAUGAUGUCCAGAUAUGCAAUGCUGCCUAUGUAAAUAAAAGAAGCAUUCUGUGUGCUUCAAAACAAGAUGACUCCACAAAAGAAAGCAGACAUGAUAUCGAAGAAGUCACAUUUACAGAUGGAUAACAGUGUUGCCUGACUAUAUUGCAUCCCAACAAGAGACUUCCCAACCAACAGGGGAAGAAAAAGGAGCCAGACUACCAGAGAGACUAUAGUAACUGUAAGGAGAGAUCAAGCUGUUUCUGGAGGUUUCUUUCAGCUACUGAACCAGGAAGUGCUAAAGGAUGUACUGAAAGAAAACAUGACUUUAACAUCUUCAUUCAUAAGCAGUGAAAGUAACAACUCUGGAAUGAAGAACAACUCUGGGGAGCAACUAGAAACAAUCAUUUGCUGUUGACACAAGCUAAAAACCAACAGUUGAAUAUCAAGAGAUGACACGAGAACAAAACUUGUGUGUUCCAUGACCAAUGCAGUGCUUUCAAAGGGUCCACUUGUAAGAAGCGGAGAGCAGUCCCUUCUCAUCCUGUCACUAUGUGAACUACUUUGCAGCUUCUUUCGUUCCAUGGCUGCUUCUACCUUGUCAACAGCUGGCAUCGGAAACCCAGUAUAUAGGCUGUUUUUCAGAUCUUUUUGCACUCAUUAAAUACAGCUGUCACAAUAGCGAGCAUUGGAAUGUGCGCCAAACUUUUUAUGCCACGUCAAAAUAAAGCAGAAACAUUUUUUUAAAGAUCUAAAA